AUUGAACGCUGGCGGCAGGCCUAACACAUGCAAGUCGAGCGCGCGGCGGACGGGUGAGUAAUGUCUGGGAACCUGCCUGAUGGCGGGUGAUAACUACUGGAAACGGUAGCUAAUACCGCAUACCAUCAGAUGUGCCCAGAUGGGCUUAGCUAGUAGGUGGGGUAAUGGCUCACCUAGGCGACGAUUGCUAUCUGGUCUGAGAGGAUGACCAGCCAAAAUGUAACUGAGACACGGUCCAGAGACCUACGGGAGGAAGAAGUGGGGAAUAUUCGACAAUGGGCGAAAUCCUGAUGCAGCCAUGGGGCGUGUAGGAAGAAGGCCUUCGGGUUGUAAAGCACUUUCAGCGGGGAGGCGUUACCCGCAGAAGAAGCACCGGCUAACUCCGUGCCAGCAGCCGCGGUAAUAC
rnacentral:rRNA from 1 species